GCCAGCAGCCAUAUCACCCUGCAGCUCACAACCCACUGAAGCUAUGCAGGUGUGAGCCUGGUCAGUACCUGGAUGGGGGACCUCCUGGGAAAAUACUAAGGUUGCUGAUGGAA
rnacentral:rRNA from 1 species